UUUUAUUACGGCUCCUUGACCAAAAUUCAAGAAUAAUUUAGGACAAAAGCAGGACUUUUAAAUGAAAAUCUAUUUAUAAACAUGUAAGAUGCAACACAAAGUGAUCAUCUGGUGGUUGUCAUGGUAACUAGGACCCAGAUCUGCUUUGAGUUUCUGUAACUGUUUUUAAAUAAAGAUCCAGUUUUUCUUUAUUUCAGUUUCUUUGAUCAAACCCAAAAUAAUUCUGGAUGCCUUUCAUUUAAUGUGCAAAAAAACAUGACAAAUUUUGGAUCUACAAUCCCAUCGCUACACAGAAACAGUUCAUGUUUGCUUAUUGUUGAUUAGGGAAAAAAUGAACAUUGUAGUUUUUAAAAGGAUAUUUUUGACUGAUUUCUACUGAGAUGACAGUUUUGGCCCAUAUGAUGAAACUCUGGACACCCCUGAUCUACAUGAAACGAUUUUUUAUUUAUUUGGUUUGAUUAUUGCUUUAAGUCCGUCUCUCUGUCAAACUGGCUUCUUAACCUGCUCACCUUCAUCACCUGAGUUUCUUCUGAAACGUUUUUCAGCUCCUGCUGAGCAACCAGAGGAAACUCCUGAGGCGGCCAUGUUUUACGAGAACGAGGAGGACGGCCCGUCGCGAUGUGUUGAUGUGGAGCUUUACGCAGUUUACCAUGAAAUCCCUGUGAAAGCAGCAGCUGAGGGCGAUGAAGGCGACGGCUCUGGGACUGAAACUCAGCUAUAAGUUUCAGAAGGUCAGAUGAACCAAACAUGGAGAAUAUCGUCCUGGUAACCACUCCCUGAAGGAGUCUGAGUCCUGCCACCUGGAACCAGAACUGGAUCGGCUCUACAGUCAGCAUGGAAGCCUAGAUUCAAACUGGAUUCAAACUGAAUUCAGACUGAAUUCAGACUCAAUUCAGACUGGAUUCAGACUGAAUUCAGACUGAAUUCAAACUGGAUUUAUUGAAGAAUUGAAGGUUGACUUACUCUUAAAUAUAUAAGUAAGGAAAAUAAUACACAGAGACGUAGUUCUUGCUGCUAGGCCACAGACGAGCCGGAGAUUUGUUACACUCCACGAAAUUACAGUUUUGUCAGUUCAAUGCUCAAAAUCUUUCAUAGUCCUGACAAAAAAUCUCCUUCAAAGUCUCAAAUUCAACCGUCUUUAUACUCUUUUGACUUCAACAGUGUGUAUUGGAAAGUUUCAACCAAUAGCAUGUAACCGUUGUUUUUCGAGCAAAUCUUGGCAUGCUUUUCACUGGUGUGUAUUGGACGACCUUUAAUAUCUUUGGAAAUCCAAGUCCAAGACAUAAGACUCCAAUAUUUCAACAAACUUCAACAUCUGCUCCUUCUCAGAACUACCAAAUAGACCAAUUUGUCCCAGAUUGUUGAUGUUAUCGUGUCCAGACAGCAUUCCUUCCAAGUCCAUUUGCACACUUUGUACGCAAAUGGAGGGAAGGGAGUCAGGUCAGUCUGAACUAGAGAAAUGCCAAAAUCUUUCUCGCAGAAACAACUCCUUAGAUCGGAUUUCGGCUCCGACAUAAUCCCCCCUAUUUCACUUUUAAGCGGAAUCCUAAUUAACUUUAGCAGUUGUUUUUGUUAAUUGCGAUACUAGUUACAUGGCUACCUGUGAACAUAACUCUGUAUAUAAACCUUAAAAAUAUAUAAGAAAGUCAAUUGAAGUUGAAUAAAAUGAAUAGUGGGGGUAAACAUUGUUUUCAUGAGUAACUGUAACUAAUAUAAUAAUUUCAAUACAUUGAUUAAACACAAUUGGACAUGGCUUCUAUGUCCAAUUUGUUCUUCCAUUUGUAUAAGAUUAAAAACCCUGUUGGCCUUUUGUUGAUUUAUGUUAUUUCCAGGGAAGUAGUUGUUGUAAUUAGGAAUUAUUGAUUCAGAUCGAAGAGGUCAAAGUUUCCGUAUCGAAAAUGUUUGUUUUUAUUCCAAUCAUUUUGUUUCCCAUCUGUAAAUAAAAUGCAGCAAACUGG